rnacentral:tRNA from 1 species
UGAAUAGCUCAGUUGGUAGAGCACUCGGCUGUUAACCGGACGGUCACAGGUUCAAGUCCUGUUUCA